rnacentral:lncRNA from 1 species
AAAGAUUUUGUAUAUAAUUUCGAAGUAAACACCUACUGUGGAUGUGUGACAUAUAUAAAAUUUUAAACUUCAUUAUAGGGAUUAGCUUUCUUAGUAAAACAGAGAAUUUUCGUACAAGAAAGCAUUCUUCUAACAGAGAAUUUUCAUGCAUUGAUUUAAUUUCCCAUUUUAUAUGCUGGAACUAUUAGAAUGUAAUUAUUAUUUUCCAUAUCUGUUUGCAAAAGUAAAAAAAUUCUACAAUGCACGGACAAUAGCACUAGAGAAAUCAUAAUCGUCCAAAUCUGGCUCGAACUUUCAAGUUAAUAACCUGCAUAAAUACAAACUAAAUGAAAUUCCCGCGAACUACAUAAACAUAUCUUUGAUGAAAAGCUGCAAGCUCUUCUUUGGCGUGUGUAAGCAGGUCCUGAAUGCUAGUUUCUAUACUAGCAAUGUCUCUCACUCGAACAUUGAGAGUGAACUGCUAACGUUUUCCUUGCCAGCAACCAAUAUCUAAUUGUAUUGUGCCAAUUAUGUACGGGUAUUACUUUGUGGCUCCCUUAUUUGUUUACAUUAUUUUGUUAUGAUACAACUAAAUCUAGGCCCAUGUCGACCGCCUUCACCUCGUAGGCGCAUGGCCGCCUACACGCCCUUGAAUGCUGCCUACUACUUGUAGGCUCUUGAUUGGCACCUACUCUUUGUAGGCCCUCACCCCUUUCCCGUUUAUCCCUCGCAAGCCCUCGUUGGUCGACUACUUCUCGUAGGCUCACGUUUGCCGACUACACCUCAUAGGCCCUUACUCGCCGCUUACCCCUCGUAGAACCUCGUUCACCGUCUACCGCUCAUAGGCUAUCGUUGGUCGUCUACUCUAGUAGGCCAUCGUCGGUUGCCUACCCUUGUAGGUCCUCGUCAAUUGCCUAUGUAGGUUCUUGUCGCCUACCCUUGUAGGUACUUGUCGGUCGCCUAUCCCUUGUUGGCCCUUAGUCAUCGGCGACUUACCCCUUGUAGGCUAAUGUUUGCGGCCUACUCCUCGUUGGCCCACGCUCGUUGCCUACACACUAUAUAGGCCCUUGUUUGUCGCCUAGCCCUCGUAGACCCACAUUUUGCCUACUAUUCGUAGGCCAUUGUUCGUCACUUACCGCUCACAGGCCCUCGUUGUCCGCCUACCGCUAGUAGGCCCUUGUUACCCGCCUAUCGCUAGCCUACCGCUUGUAGGUCCUCUUUUGUCGUCUACUACUUGUAGACCCUCGUUUACCGCCUACUGCUUGGUUGCCGCCUACACCUUGAUUGUCGCCUACACCUUGUAGGCCUCGAUAGUCGCCUACACCUUGUAGGCCCUCGUUUCUUGCCUACACCUCGUGGGCCCUCGAUUGCCGCCUAUACCUCGUAGGUCCUCGAUUGCCGCCUACUCUUCGUAGGCCCUCGAUUGCUGCCUACACCUCGUAGGCAUAGAUUGCUGCCUACCUCUCGUAGGCCCUCGAUUGCUGUCUACCUCUCGUAGGCCCUCAAUUACUGCGUACACCUCUUACGCCUCUAUUAUCGCCUACACCUCGUAGGUCCUCGAUUGUCGCCUACACCUUGUUGGCCUCGAUAAUCGCCUACACCUCGUAGCCUCUCGAUUGCUACGUACACAUCGUACGCCUCUAUUGUCGCCUACACCUCGUAGGCCUCGAUAAUUGCCUACACCUCGUUGGCCCUCGAUUCCCGCUUACACCUCGUAGGCUAUAGUUGUCGCUUACACCUCGUAGACCCUCGAUUUCCGCGUACACCUCGUAGGCCCUCGAUUGCCGCCUACACCUAGUAGACCCUUGAUUAAUGCAUACAACUCGCAGACUCUCGAUUUUCGCCUACACCUCGUAGGCCCUCGAUUGCCGCCUACAACUCGUAGGCCCUCGAUUGUCGCCUACACCUCGUAGGCCCUCGAUUACUGCGUACACCUCGUACGCCUCUAUUGUCGCCUACACCUCGUAGGCCCUCGAUUGUCGCCUACACCUUGUUGCCCUCGAUUGUCGCCUACACCUUGUAGGCCUUGAUAAUCGUUUACACCUCGUAGGCCCUCGAUUGAUGCCUACCCUUUGUAGGCCCUCAAUUUCCGCCUUCCGCCUACACCUCGUAGGCCUAGAUUUGCACCUACAUCUCGUAGUCCCUCGACUGUGGCCUACCCCUCACAAGCUCUCGGUUGUCGCCUACACCUCGUAGGCUCUCGAUUUCUGCCUACACCUCAUAAGCACUUGAUUACUGCGUACAUCUCGUACGCCUCGAUUGUCGCUUACACCUCGUAGGCCCUCAAUUUAUGCCUACACCACUUAGUCCCUCGAUUGCCGCCUACACCUCAUAGGCGCUUGAUUUUCGCCUACAUCUUGUAGGUCCUCGAUUUCCGCCUACAUUUUGUAGGCCCUCGAUUUUCGCCUACAUCUCGUAGGCCCUUGAUUUUUGCCUAAACCUCGUAGGCUCUCGAUUUUCGCCUACACCUCGUAGGCCCUCGAUUACUGCGUACAUCUCGUACGCCUCGAUUGUCGCCUACACCUUGUAGGGCUCGAUUGUCACCUACACCUCGUAGGCCUCGAUAAUCACCUACACCUCGUAGGCCUUCGAAUUUUGCCUACACCUUGUUGGAUCUAGUUUGUCGUUUACACCUCGUCGGUCCUCGAUUGCCGCCUACAACUUGUAGGCCCUCGAUUGCCGCCUACACCUCGCAGACCCUCGAUUUUCGCAGACACCUCGUAGGGCCUCGAUUGCCGCUUACAACUUGUAGGCCCUCGAUUGUCGCCUACAACUCGUAGGCCCUCGAUUGCCGCCUACAACUCGUAGGCCCUCGUUUGCCGCCUACACUUUGUAGGCUUUCGUUUGCCGUCUACACUUCGUAGACCCUCGAUUACCGUCUACACCUCGUAAGCCCUCGAUUACCGUCUACACCUCGUAGUCUCUCGAUUUCUGUCUACACAUCGUAGGCCCUCGAUUUCUGUCUACACAUCGUAGGCCCUCGAUUUCCGCCUACACCUCGUAGGCCUUCGAUUUCCGCCAACACAUCGUAGGCCCUCGAUUUCCACCUACACCUCGUACGCCCUCGAUUGUCGAUUACACCUCAUAGGCCUCGAUUGUCGACUACACCUCGUAGGCCUCGAUUGUCGACUACACCUCGUAGGCCUCGAUUGUCGCCUACAACUCGUAGGCCUCGAUAAUCGCCUACACCUCGUAGGACCUCGAUUCAUGCUUACCCCUUGUAGGCCCUCAAUUGUCGCCUACCCUUUAUAGGCCCUCGAUUGGCGCCUACUCCUCGUACGCGCUCGAUUUUUGCCUACAAUUCGUAAGCCCUCGAUUUCCGCCUACACAUCGUAGGCUGUCGAUUUCCGUCUACACCUCGUUGGCCAUCGAUUGUUGUGUACGCCUCUAUUGUCGCCUACACGUCGUAUGCCCUCGAUUGUCGCCAACACCUUGUAGGCCUCGAUAAUCGCUUACACCUAGCCUCGAUAAUCGCUUACACCUCGUAGGCCUUCGAUUGUCACCUACCACUCGUAGGCCCUCGAUUUCCGCCUACCCCUCGUAGGUCCUCGAUUUUUGCCUACACCUCGUAGGCACUCGAUUUUCGCAUACACCUCGUAGGCCCUCGAUUACCGCAUACACCUCGUAGUCCUCGAUUACUGUGUACAUCUUAGGCCCUCGAUUACUGUGUACCUCGUAGGCCCUCGAUUGAUGCCUACACCUCGUAGGCCCUCGAUUGAUGCCUACACCUCGUCGGCCCUCGAUUUUCGCCUACACAUCGUAGGCCCUCGAUUUUCGCCUGCACAUCGUAGGCCCUUGACGACUACACCUCGUAGACCCGUGACUGUCGCCUACCCCUCAAAAACCCUCGAUUUUCGCCUACACCUCGUAGGCCCUCGAUUUCCGCCUACACCUCGUAGGCACUCGAUUUCCGCGUACACCUCAUACGCCUCUAUUGUCGCCUACAUCUCGUAGGCCCUCGAUUGUCGCCUACAUUUUUUAGGCCCUUUAUUGUCGCCUACACCUCGUAGGCCUCGAUAAUCGCUUACACCUCGUACGCCCUCAAUUGAUGCCUACACCACUUAGUCCCUCGAUUGACGCAUACCCUCGUAGGCCCUCGAUUGCCGCCUACCCCUUGAAGGCCUUCGAUUUCCGCCUACACCUCGAUUUCCGCCUACAUCUUGUAGGCGCUCGAUUUCCGCUUACAUCUCGUAGGCGCUCGAUUUCCACCUACAACUCGUAGGCCCUCGGUUACUGCGUACACCUCAUACGCCUCUAUUGUCGCCUACACCUCGUAGGCCUCGAUAAUCGCCUACACCUUGUAGGCCCUCAAUUGAUGCCUACACCACUUAAUCCCUCGAUUGCCGCCUACCCCUCGUAGGCCCUCGAUUUUCGCCUACAUCUCGUAGGCCCUCGAUUUCCGCCUACACCUCGUAAGCCCUCGAUUACUGUGUACACCUCGUAGGCUCUUGAUUGUCGCCUACACCUCGUAGGCCCUCGAUUGUCGCCUACAUCUUGUAGGCCCUUGAUUGUCGCUUACACCUCAUAGGCCUCGAUAAUCGCCUACACCUCGUAGGCCCUCAAUUGAUGCCUACACCAUUUAGUCCCUCGAUUGUCGCCUACCCCUCGUAAGACCUCGAUUGCCGCCUACCCCUCGUAGGACAUCGAUUGCCGCCUAUCCAAUGUAGGCCUUCGAUUUUCGCCUACAACUCGUAGGCGCUCGAUUUCCGCCUACAUCUCGUAGGCGCUUGAUAUCUGCCUACAUCUUGUAGGCGCUCGAUUUCCGCCUACACCUCGUAGGCCCUCGAUUACUGUGUACACCUCGUACGCCUCUAUUAUCGCCUACACCUCGUAGGCCUCGAUUGUCGCCUACACCUCGUAGGCCUCGAUAAUCGCCUACACCUCGUAGACCCUCGAUUCUCGCCUACACCUCGUAGGCCCUCGAUUGCUGCCUACACCUAGUAGGCUCUCGAUUGCCGCCAACACCUAGUAAGCCCUCGACUGCCGCCUACAUCUAGUAGGCCCUCGAUUGCCGCCUACUAGGAGUAGGCAUCGAUUAUCGCCUACACCUCGUAGACCCUCGAUUUCCGCCUACACCUCGUAGGCCCCCUCGAUUGCCGCCUACUCCUCGUAGGCCCUAGUUUGCCGCCUACACUUCGUACGCUAUCGAUUACCGCCUACACCUCGUAGGCUCUCGAUUAUCGUCUACACCUCGUAUGCCGUCGAUUUCCGCCAACACCUGGUAGGCCCUCGAUUUCUGCAUACACCUGGUAGGCCCUCGAUUACUGCGUACACCUCGUACGCCUCUAUUGUCGCCUGCACCUCGUAGGCCCUCGAUUGUCACCUAUACCUCGUAAGCCUCGAUUGUCGCCUGCACCUUGUAGGUCUCGAUAAUCGCCUUCACCUCGUAGGCCCUCGAUUAAUGCCUACCCUCGUAGGCCCUCGAUUUCCGCCUAUACCUCGUACGCACUCGAUUGUUGCGUACACCUCAUACGCCUCUAUUGUCGCCUACACCUCGUAGGCUAUCGAUUGCCGCCUACACCUAGUUGGCCCUCUAUUGCCGCCUACUCCUAAUAGCCCUCGAUUGCCGCCUACAACUUGUAGACCCUGGAUUAUUACCUACACCUCGCAGACGAAGAUUUCCGCCUAUACCUCGUAGGCCCUCGAUUUCUGCCUGCACCUUGUAGGCCCUCGAUUGUCGCCUACAACUCGUAGGCCCUCAAUUGCCGCCUACACCUCGUAGGCUCUUGUUUGCCGCCUACACUUCGUACGCCCUUGAUUUUCUCCUACCCUUCGUAGGCCCUCAGAUACUGCCUACAUCUCGUAAGCCCUUGGUUACCGUCUACACCUUGUAGGCUGUCGAUUUCCGCCUACACCUCGUAGACCCUCUAUUUCCACCUACAUCUCGUAGGUCCUCGAUUGUUGCGUACACCUCGUACGCCUCUAUUGUCGCCUACACCUCGUAGGCCCUCGAUUGUCGCCUACACCUUGUAGGCCUCGAUAAAUGCUUACACCUCGUAGGCGCUCGAUUUCCGCCUACCCCUCGUAGGCCCUCGAUUUCCGCCUACCCCUCGUAGGCCCUCGAUUUCCGCAUAUACCUCGUUGGCCCUCGAUUUUUGCAUAUACCUCGUAGGCCCUCGAUAACUGCGUACACCUCGUACGCCUCUAUUGUCGCCUACACCUUGUAGGCCUCGAUUUUCGCCUACACCUUGUAGGCCUCGAUAAUCGUCUACACCUCGUAGGCCCUUGAUUGAUGCAUACCCUUUCGUAGGCCCUCGAUUUCCGCCUACACCUCGUUGGUCCUCGAUUUUCGCCUACACCUCGUAGGCCUUCGACUGUCGCCUACCCCUCUAAAGCCCUCGAUUGUUGCCUACACCUCGUAGGCCCUCGAUUUCCGCAUAUACCUCGUAGGCACUCGAUUGCUACGUAUACCUUAUACGCCUCUAUUGACGCCUACACCUCGUAGCCUACAUUGAUUAACUUGUAAAAGUCUAUGGAAGUUUUCCGUAUAAAAAGACUUCAAAGUAAAACCUUAAUAGUCAAGUCCCACAUUGAUUCACUUUUAAAAGUCUAAGGAAGUUUUUUUUAUAAAAAAACUUUAAUAGCCAAGUCCCACUUUUGUUAUAAAAUGAAACCUUAGUAGUUAAUGCUUUGACUAUCAAGUGAGACCUUAAUAGCCAAGUCCCACAUUGGAAAGUCCAAGGAAGUUUUGCUUUAUAAAAAGACUAUCAACUAUUAAUAGUUGGUGGUUUCCAAGUUUUAUAUUGAUUAAAUUGGUAAAAGUAAAA